GCAUUAGUGGUUCAGGAGUAGAGUUCUGUCUUCCAUGCAGGAGACCUGGGUUCAACUCCCAGCCAAUGUA
rnacentral:tRNA from 1 species